UGAGUCAGACUUUGGUAGCCUCCUUACUUGCUCCACUUGCUUCAGAGAGAGAAGUGCGGGUUUGCGGUUUAGUGAAGGAGCAAGGCUCAUGUGAAUAGAAGAAUCCAAGGUAGAGCAGGAAGAGAAAUCCAGCUAGAGAAAGAGGUGGAAGUCAAAAUAAGUAGACUCUUAUUUUAAAUUUUUAAUGGCUUCUUGGUGGCUUCAAGAUAAAAACAAUGAAUUCUUUGGAGGUGAGCACUACAUGUAUAUUUUACCUUUGUUUCUCUGCACAGGAUAGACAAUGAGGAGCUUUGUGUUUGGGAAAAGAAUAAAAGUCAACUGUAGCAAAACCUCUCAGAAGUAGGAUUUAUAAACAGUUCUCAAAGGAUGCACAUGAAAAUGUAAUUUCUUGGGAAAGUGGCAAACAGAAAAGAAUCAAACCGCAGUUGUGUGUGGCAAGGAUAAAUAUGCAACGCACCAUCAAUAGGAUUUGUUGGGUGAAUAAAAAAGCCUUUUAGCCAACAAUAUGUAAGCAGAAGAAUGGAGCAGGAGUUAGAGAGAACCCUCAAGCAAUAAUGGAGGCCACUGGAGAGGCAAGACUGCCAAAGGCUAAGUUAUUGACCCAGUAUUUUUAAAACUGCCUCCGAAAAGAAGCCUGAACGAAAGAAAAUAAUUUGUGCUAUUAGAAUGUAUUUUUCCUUUGUGUUCCUAUCUACUUCCUUCACAAGCUAUUUUUGGAGCAUUUGGCCAGAGUGAUCUUUCUGAAAUGGAAGACUCAUGUAUUGUUCCUGUGAGUCAGAUGGGAAGCUGAUGGAAAGUCUUCAGCAGAGAAAAAUCCAAAGUGACUGCAAUGAUUUACGUGACUCUACAGAUCCUGGCCCCUAUUGAUUUUUCUGAGAACAAAAUAAAUAUCCACAGUGAGUCACAAAUGUAAAUGUAUUGAGUGCCCAAUGUAUGGAGCCCUUUCUCCAAGACCUCACUGCCGUAAAUACAAAUAUAACUGAGAACUGGUGAUUUGAAGAUGAUUCUUGGGAUAGCGGGCUAGGCGGCACUUCACACUGGCUUUUGGGGCCACAUAGGGGUGUAAUCAUGUUAUCACCCUGCACAACCCCAGAGGGUACCAUACACAACCCAUUUGACCAAACAUGGCAGUCCUGAAAGGAAUGAUGAUUGAAAGCCAAGACUGAGCUUUGGCAAGGAAACCACCUCUGAAUUACCAACUCAUUGUCUAUAAUGUAAUGAUAGCAUCUACCUCUUAGUAAUUUUGUGAACAUUAAAUGAAUAAAGCAUGACAAAAGGCCUACCUCUGUGCUUGGUACAUAGUAGGUACUCAGUAAAACAUUUUUUCUUCCAUUCAG
rnacentral:lncRNA from 1 species